rnacentral:rRNA from 1 species
UACGGGGGGGGCAAGCGUUGUCCGGAAUCACUGGGCGUAAAGGGCGCGUAGGCGGCCUGAUAAGUAGGGGGUGAAAUCCUGCGGCUUAACCGCAGGGCUGCCUUCUAAACUGUCAGGCUGGAGCACAGUAGAGGCAGGUGGAAUUCCCGGUGUAGCGGUGGAAUGCGUAGAGAUCGGGAAGAACAUCAGUGGCGAAGGCGGUCUGCUGGGCCGUUGCUGACGCUGAGGCGCGACAGCGUGGGGAGCAAACAGG